AAAACAGUUUUGAUGCAAUUUUUGAACCAUUCAGUCUGUUUUGUUCGUGCAGUUCAUGGUACCACAUCUGCAUGCUACAUCUUGUGUAGAUUUGGCUACCACAUUAUAUGAUGUUUCACUUUGCUCCGUCAAAGUUUCAGUAAAAAAUUGAAUUGAACAUCUUUUUGUAGACAUACAAAAAUGGUCCUCCAUUUUUUACAUCGCCCUGACAUCCAAUUCAAACUAUAUUUUCUGCCUAAACUGUUGCAUACCUAUGAGAUCAUGGGAUAACUCAGACACGAGCCGGUGUCCAGUGCGCAGUUGGGUGCAUUAUUUGGUGACAUCUAGUGCUAACUGUUUAAUGCUGAGUAAUCAAAUAUAUUCCAUGAAGUGCUUCUUGGUAUUUUACAACCGUUUACUCUGAAUUCUGGUCUUCAUGCCUUCAGACAAUUUUCAGGUUGCUUUUCCACGAUUUCAAAUAACUUAUACCGCGCUCGGGGCGUAUCUAGAUCUAGCACAGAAGAGAUGUGUUUCUUGAAGACCCGAAAAAUGAUAAUACUAACAGGAUUGUUUUUAAUAUUGCCAGUACUGCUCCAUAAAAUAAACAUAGCGUGUUCACUCCUGCAAAAAAAAAUCGUAACAGUUAAUUCUGUUGUAGUUGUAGAUGUACAUCCUUUAUUCCCGCAACAGUUAAUUCUAAGGCCAUUCAUAUCAUUGCAGAUUUUGCCUAUUCUCUGAGAUGGAUGAUGAUGAGCGGUGCAACCGAAAAUUCAGAGCUGGGCUUUACACACUUCAGUGGGAGUAGCAUGACAACACCAAGGUAGAGACUUGAAGAGAAGCAAGGGGAUGGACCAAGGAAACUAGAACUGUGUUGUCGUGAUGUGGGUCGUGUCGUCUUCGUCCAUCUCCAUGGAGGCAUAUAUACAUAGGUUAGGUAUAGGAAAGGAGACCGUCUCCAUGGAACUCUGACUGAUGUGUAAUGUCCUCAUAGGACUGGACCGUUUACAGAGGGAGUACUUGAAAAUAGAUUCUUUAUAUAUUGUUUGGUUCCAUCAGCCGCAUAACCUAAAUUAGCAAUUUGGUA